rnacentral:lncRNA from 1 species
AGGAGAGUGGGUCUGGUACUUCAACUAACAGAAGGAAAGCCGCUUUUUCGUUUGUCCCUCAACUCGGCCGCUGUUGACGUGAGCGUCAAUACUUCUCUAGCAGACCUACGGUGGCAUCGUGUGGACAUUUUCUGGCGAAAUAAAACAGUUGAGAUGAUCAUCGACAACUGCGUAGGACAGCCCCCU